UUGAAACGAUCUAUUAAGAUUACUUUUUUAAAGUUUUUAAAUUAGUUGAGUCCCCCGUGCCUAUUGUCUAGAAUUUUUUAUUUUACUAGACUAGUUCUUGUUUGGUGAGGAUUACAAUUAUAUUAUUAAUGGAUUUUAUAAAAAUUAAUGAAAUUAGUGAUUGAAAAGUUGUGGAUUUCAUGGAAUAUGUGGUUAGAAUUAAUCAUUCAAUUUGGUUUAUAUUAAAAUUUUAAUUUUAAUCUGACCUGAAUUUAAGAUUUUUCAUCGGGAAUAAGUGGCUACUUUCAACAAAAUGAGAGUCACAUGUACGUGACUGUAAAGUCAACCAUUUUUCUUACAAUUCACUUUCAAUGGGAAUUCCGAGUUUAUACUUUAUGUAUAAAUACUCUAUGCACAUGGCCAUCAAAGGUAUUGCGUGAAAUUUUUAUUUGGAAAUAAUAAUCAAAUAUUAAAUUUUUUUUUUUUUCAAUUAUCAGGUGAUUUAUGAAAACCAUGGUCAACCAUUCAA
rnacentral:lncRNA from 1 species